AGUUUGAUCAUGGCUCAGGAUGAACGCUAGCGGGAGGCCUAACACAUGCAAGCCGAGCGGUAUUGUUUCUUCGGAAAUGAGAGAGCGGCGUACGGGUGCGGAACACGUGUGCAACCUGCCUUUAUCUGGGGGAUAGCCUUUCGAAAGGAAGAUUAAUACUCCAUAAUAUAUUGAACGGCAUCGUUUAAUAUUGAAAGCUCCGGCGGAUAGAGAUGGGCACGCGCAAGAUUAGCUAGUUGGUGAGGUAACGGCUCACCAAGGCGAUGAUCUUUAGGGGGCCUGAGAGGGUGAUCCCCCACACUGGUACUGAGACACGGACCAGACUCCUACGGGAGGCAGCAGUGAGGAAUAUUGGUCAAUGGGUGCAAGCCUGAACCAGCCAUCCCGCGUGAAGGACGACUGCCCUAUGGGUUGUAAACUUCUUUUGUAUAGGGAUAAACCUACCCUCGUGAGGGUAGCUGAAGGUACUAUACGAAUAAGCACCGGCUAACUCCGUGCCAGCAGCCGCGGUAAUACGGAGGGUGCAAGCGUUAUCCGGAUUUAUUGGGUUUAAAGGGUCCGUAGGCGGACUUAUAAGUCAGUGGUGAAAGCCUGUCGCUUAACGAUAGAACUGCCAUUGAUACUGUAAGUCUUGAGUAUAUUUGAGGUAGCUGGAAUAAGUAGUGUAGCGGUGAAAUGCAUAGAUAUUACUUAGAACACCAAUUGCGAAGGCAGGUUACCAAGAUAUAACUGACGCUGAGGGACGAAGGCGUGGGGAGCGAACAGGAUUAGAUACCCCGGUAGU
rnacentral:rRNA from 1 species